UUAAUAUUAAUAUUAAAGAUUAUUAAAGAUUCAAUGCGCUGCCCCUCGGAAGUACCUUAGCCUCAAGAUUGUGGAGUGGACCAUUGUGCCCCAGCUUCUACAGGACAAGCCCAGGAUCCUCUGGGAACUACAUGAGCUCUGUGGGAGCAUCACCUGGGUUCAUCCACUGCUGGGGAUCACCACCGAGGACCUCGCACCAUUGUUCCAUCUCCUGAAGGGCGAUGAAGACCUCAAUGCUCCGUAAUCCCUAGCACCAGAGGCCAGGGUGGCAGUAGAAAAGGUAGCUGAUACCAUCCAGACCAAACAGUCACACAGACCACCCAAGUACCCAGAGGCCAGAUCCAGGCAGGCUUUUCCAAGACUGGGGACAUGAGGGUUGGCUUUUAUCACUAGUUUCACAGCUGAGGAAAACCUUACCAGUCCAGUGCUGCAGAUGUGUGUUGGUGUCACACAGGAGGACAUUGUGGAGAGAGGGCUCAGGAUUGAAUUUAGGGGCUGGGAGAGGGCAGAAUGUGAUCCCUUAGAAUGAAAUUGGAUCAAGACUCAUGCAAAAAUGGCAAGGACAGAAAAUACUUCCUUGUCUUCCAUAUGAAAUGUUUUUACUCACCAUGUCUGUGCAGGAAUUGUUGCACUCAGUAAAGCAGAGGACACGAAGAGGA